rnacentral:tRNA from 1 species
UCCCAGUUAGUACAAUGGUCAGUAUAGGGCACUCUCACCUCUUCUUCGUCCUGCAAGGGCAAGAAGUUUGUCUCUGCUCAGAUCAGGGUUCGAUUCCCUGGCCGGGAA